rnacentral:snRNA from 1 species
AUGCUUGCUUUGGCAGCACAUAUACUAAAAGUGGAAUGAUACAGAGAAGAUUAGCAUGGCCCCUGUGCAAGGAUGACACAUAAAUUCAUGAAGUGUUCCAUAUUUUU